UCAGCCUUCUAUGUGGUUGGAAAUAGACUUUUUCCUAUUGGCUAUGUAUCUGGAACUAUCUGCAUUUUUAAAAGAGAAGGUAAAGUUGCUCAAUUCUUCUUUUCCUUCCAUUUUAGCUGCCCAGAUCUUUGGAUUAAGAAGGAAAGGACAAAAAUGGCCAAUAAGGAGUGGAAGCACAAGCUAAGAAGAGAGACUAAGAGACUAAGAAGUCCAUGCAGAAAGGAAAAAAAAAAUUAGCAGAAAGAGAAAAACAAGAAGAUGAAGGCAUCA
rnacentral:lncRNA from 1 species